UCGUAACAAGGUUUCCGUAGGUGAACCUGCGGAAGGAUCAUUACCGAGUGAGGGCCCUCUGGGUCCAACCUCCCACCCGUGUCUAUCGUACCUUGUUGCUUCGGCGGGCCCGCCGUUUCGACGGCCGCCGGGGAGGCCUUGCGCCCCCGGGCCCGCGCCCGCCGAAGACCCCAACAUGAACGCUGUUCUGAAAGUAUGCAGUCUGAGUUGAUUAUCGUAAUCAGUUAAAACUUUCAACAACGGAUCUCUUGGUUCCGGCAUCGAUGAAGAACGCAGCGAAAUGCGAUAAGUAAUGUGAAUUGCAGAAUUCAGUGAAUCAUCGAGUCUUUGAACGCACAUUGCGCCCCCUGGUAUUCCGGGGGGCAUGCCUGUCCGAGCGUCAUUGCUGCCCUCAAGCACGGCUUGUGUGUUGGGCCCCCGUCCCCCUCUCCCGGGGGACGGGCCCGAAAGGCAGCGGCGGCACCGCGUCCGGUCCUCGAGCGUAUGGGGCUUUGUCACCUGCUCUGUAGGCCCGGCCGGCGCCAGCCGACACCCAACUUUAUUUUUCUAAGGUUGACCUCGGAUCAGGUAGGGAUACCCGCUGAACUUAAGCAUAUCA
rnacentral:misc_RNA from 1 species